rnacentral:rRNA from 1 species
AGUGAACGCUGGCGGUAGGCCUAACACAUGCAAGUCGAACGGCAGCACAGGAGAGCUUGCUCUCUGGGUGGCGAGUGGCGGACGGGUGAGGAAUACAUCGGAAUCUACUCUGUCGUGGGGGAUAACGUAGGGAAACUUACGCUAAUACCGCAUACGACCUACGGGUGAAAGCAGGGGAUCUUCGGACCUUGCGCGAUUGAAUGAGCCGAUGUCGGAUUAGCUAGUUGGCGGGGUGAAGGCCCACCAAGGCGACGAUCCGUAGCUGGUCUGAGAGGAUGAUCAGCCACACUGGAACUGAGACACGGUCCAGACUCCUACGGGAGGCAGCAGUGGGGAAUAUUGGACAAUGGGCGCAAGCCUGAUCCAGCCAUACCGCGUGGGUGAAGAAGGCCUUCGGGUUGUAAAGCCCUUUUGUUGGUAAAGAAAUCCAGCUGGCUAAUACCCGGUUGGGAUGACGGUACCCAAAGAAUAAGCACCGGCUAACUUCGUGCCAGCCGCCGCGGUAA